AUUGAACGCUGGCGGCAGGCCUAACACAUGCAAGUCGAACGAGUGGCGGACGGGUGAGUAGUGUCUGGGAAACUGCCUGGUGGAGGGGGAUAACUACUGGAAACGGUAGCUAAUACCGCAUACCAUCGGAUGUGCCCAGAUGGGAUUAGCUAGUAGGUGGGGGAAAGGCUCCCCGAGGCGACGAUCCCUAGCUGGUCUGAGAGGAUGACCAGCCACACUGGAACUGAGACACGGUCCAGACUCCUACGGGAGGCAGCAGUGGGGAAUAUUGCACAAUGGGCGCAAGCCUGAUGCAGCCAUGCCGCGUGUAUGAAGAAGGCCUUCGGGUUGUAAAGUACUUUCAGCGGGGAGGCGUUACCCGCAGAAGAAGCACCGGCUAACUCCGUGCCAGCAGCCGCGGUAAUAC
rnacentral:rRNA from 1 species